AUUGAACGCUGGCGGCAGGCCUAACACAUGCAAGUCGAGCGGGGUUUUCGGACCUAGCGGCGGACGGGUGAGUAAUGCGUAGGAAGCUACCCGAUAGAGGGGGAUACCAGUUGGAAACGACUGUUAAUACCGCAUAAUGUCUACGGACCAAAGUGUGGGACCUUCGGGCCACAUGCUAUCGGAUGCGCCUACGUGGGAUUAGCUAGUUGGUGGGGUAAUGGCUUACCAAGGCGACGAUCCCUAGCUGGUUUGAGAGGAUGAUCAGCCACACUGGAACUGAGACACGGUCCAGACUCCUACGGGAGGCAGCAGUGGGGAAUAUUGGACAAUGGGCGCAAGCCUGGUCCAGCCAUGCCGCGUGUGUGAAGAAGGCCUUCGGGUUGUAAAGCACUUUCAGUAGGGAGGAAGGGUGUUGUGUUAAUAGCACAGCAUUUUGACGUUACCUACAGAAGAAGCACCGGCUAACUCUGUGCCAGCCGCCGCUGUAACAC
rnacentral:rRNA from 1 species